rnacentral:tRNA from 1 species
GGAGGGGACAGCUCAGUGGUAGAGCGCAUGCUUAGCACGCAUGAGGUCCUGGGUUCGAUCCCCAGUCCCUCCG